AACGAACGCUGGCGGCAUGCCUAAUACAUGCAAGUCGAACAAGAUCUUCGGAUCUAGUGGCGCACGGGUGCGUAACGCGUGGGAAUCUGCCCUUGGGUUCGGAAUAACUUCUGGAAACGGAAGCUAAUACCGGAUGAUGACGUAAGUCCAAAGAUUUAUCGCCCAAGGAUGAGCCCGCGUAGGAUUAGGUAGUUGGUGAGGUAAAGGCUCACCAAGCCGACGAUCCUUAGCUGGUCUGAGAGGAUGAUCAGCCACACUGGGACUGAGACACGGCCCAGACUCCUACGGGAGGCAGCAGUAGGGAAUAUUGGACAAUGGGCGAAAGCCUGAUCCAGCAAUGCCGCGUGAGUGAUGAAGGCCUUAGGGUUGUAAAGCUCUUUUACCCGGGAUGAUAAUGACAGUACCGGGAGAAUAAGCUCCGGCUAACUCCGUG
rnacentral:rRNA from 1 species